AUUGAACGCUGGCGGCAGGCCUAACACAUGCAAGUCGAGCGGAGCCGCGGACGGGUGAGUAAUGCCUAGGAAUCUGCCUGGUAGUGGGGGAUAACGUCCGGAAACGGGCGCUAAUACCGCAUACUAUCAGAUGAGCCUAGGUCGGAUUAGCUAUAUGGUGGGGUAAAGGCCUACCAUGGCGACGCACCGUCACUGGUCUGAAAGGAUGAUCAGUCACACUGGAAAUGAGACACGGUCCGAACUCCUACGGGAAGCAGCAGUGGGGAAUAUUGGACAAUGGGCGAAAGCCUGAUCCAGCCAUGCCACGUGUGUGAAGAAGGUUUUCGGAUUGUAAAGCACUUUAAGUUGGGAGGCGUUACCAAAAGGAUGAGCACCGGCUAACUUCGUGCCAGCAGCCGCGGUAAUUC
rnacentral:rRNA from 1 species